rnacentral:rRNA from 1 species
GAUUGAACGCUGGCGGCAGGCUUAACACAUGCAAGUCGAGCGGGGGAGGUUGCUUCGGUAACUGACCUAGCGGCGGACGGGUGAGUAAUGCUUAGGAAUCUGCCUAUUAGUGGGGGACAACAUUCCGAAAGGAAUGCUAAUACCGCAUACGCCCUACGGGGGAAAGCAGGGGAUCUUCGGACCUUGCGCUAAUAGAUGAGCCUAAGUCGGAUUAGCUAGUUGGUGGGGUAAAGGCCUACCAAGGCGACGAUCUGUAGCGGGUCUGAGAGGAUGAUCCGCCACACUGGGACUGAGACACGGCCCAGACUCCUACGGGAGGCAGCAGUGGGGAAUAUUGGACAAUGGGGGGAACCCUGAUCCAGCCAUGCCGCGUGUGUGAAGAAGGCCUUUUGGUUGUAAAGCACUUUAAGCGAGGAGGAGGCUACCGAGACUAAUACUCUUGGAUAGUGGACGUUACUCGCAGAAUAAGCACCGGCUAACUCUGUGCCAGCAGCCGCGGUAAUACAGAGGGUGCGAGCGUUAAUCGGAUUUACUGGGCGUAAAGCGUGCGUAGGCGGCUGAUUAAGUCGGAUGUGAAAUCCCUGAGCUUAACUUAGGAAUUGCAUUCGAUACUGGUCAGCUAGAGUAUGGGAGAGGAUGGUAGAAUUCCAGGUGUAGCGGUGAAAUGCGUAGAGAUCUGGAGGAAUACCGAUGGCGAAGGCAGCCAUCUGGCCUAAUACUGACGCUGAGGUACGAAAGCAUGGGGAGCAAACAGGAUUAGAUACCCUGGUAGUCCAUGCCGUAAACGAUGUCUACUAGCCGUUGGGGCCUUUGAGGCUUUAGUGGCGCAGCUAACG